GAUGAACGCUGGCGGCGUGCCUAAUACAUGCAAGUCGAGCGAACGGACGAGAAGCUUGCUUCUCUGAUGUUAGCGGCGGACGGGUGAGUAACACGUGGAUAACCUACCUAUAAGACUGGGAUAACUUCGGGAAACCGGAGCUAAUACCGGAUAAUAUUUUGAACCGCAUGGUUCAAAAGUAAAAGACGGUCUUGCUGUCACUUAUAGAUGGAUCCGCGCUGCAUUAGCUAGUUGGUAAGGUAACGGCUUACCAAGGCAACGAUGCAUAGCCGACCUGAGAGGGUGAUCGGCCACACUGGAACUGAGACACGGUCCAGACUCCUACGGGAGGCAGCAGUAGGGAAUCUUCCGCAAUGGGCGAAAGCCUGACGGAGCAACGCCGCGUGAGUGAUGAAGGUCUUCGGAUCGUAAAACUCUGUUAUUAGGGAAGAACAUAUGUGUAUGUAACUGUGCACAUCUUGACGGUACCUAAUCAGAAAGCCACGGCUAACUACGUG
rnacentral:rRNA from 1 species